AAUAGAUACCCGGUAGUCCACGCCGUAAACGGUGGGCACUAGAUGUGGGCUCAUUCCAUGAGUUCCGCGUCGCAGCUAACGCAUUAAGUGCCCCGCCUGGGGAGUACGGCCGCAAGGCUAAAACUCAAAGGAAUUGACGGGGGCCCGCACAAGCGGCGGAGCAUGCGGAUUAAUUCGAUGCAACGCGAAGAACCUUACCAAGGCUUGACAUAUACCGUUUAUCCCUAGAGAUAGGGAGUCCUUGGGCGGUAUACAGGUGGUGCAUGGUUGUCGUCAGCUCGUGUCGUGAGAUGUUGGGUUAAGUCCCGCAACGAGCGCAACCCUCGUUCUAUGUUGCCAGCACGUAAUGGUGGGGACUCAUAGGAGACUGCCGGGGUCAACUCGGAGGAAGGUGGGGAUGGACGUCAAAUCAUCAUGCCCCUUAUGUCUUGGGCUUCACGCAUGCUACAAUGGCCGGUACAAAGGGCUGCAAUACCGUAAGGUGGAGCGAAUCCCAAAAAGCCGGUCUCAGUUCGGAUUGAGGUCUGCAACUCG
rnacentral:rRNA from 1 species